CCUACGGGCGGCAGCAGUGGGGAAUAUUGCGCAAUGGGGGCAACCCUGACGCAGCAACGCCGCGUGAUUGAAGAAGGCCUUCGGGUUGUAAAGAUCUUUAAUCGGGGACGAAUUUUGACGGUACCCGAAGCAUAAGCUCCGGCUAACUACGUGCCAGCAGCCGCGGUAAUACGUAGGGAGCAAGCGUUAUCCGGAUUUACUGGGUGUAAAGGGCGUGUAGGCGGGCAUGCAAGCCAGAAGUGAAAUCGGGGGGCUUAACCCCCAAACUGCUGUUGGAACUGCGUGUCUUGAGUGAUGGAGAGGCAGGCGGAAUUCCCAGUGUAGCGGUGAAAUGCGUAGAUAUUGGGAGGAACACCAGUGGCGAAGGCGGCCUGCUGGACAUUAACUGACGCUGAGGCGCGAAAGCGUGGGGAGCAAACAGGAUUAGAUACCCCAGUAGUC
rnacentral:rRNA from 1 species